GGAACAAUGGCGUAGUUGGUUAUCGCAUCUGUCUCACAUAGACUGACAGAAGGUUCCAGUUCGAAUCUGGGUUGUUCGU